GAUGAACGCUGGCGGCGUGCCUAAUACAUGCGAGUCGAGCGAACAGACGAGGAGCUUGCUCCUCUGACGUUAGCGGCGGACGGGUGAGUAACACGUGGAUAACCUACCUAUAAGACGGGGAUAACUUCGGGAAACCGGAGCUAAUACCGGAUAAUAUAUUGAACCGCAUGGUUCAAUAGUGAAAGACGGUUUUGCUGUCACUUAUAGAGGGAUCCGCGCCGCAUUAGCUAGUUGGUAAGGUAACGGCUUACCAAGGCGACGAUGCGUAGCCGACCUGAGAGGCUGAUCGGCCACACUUGAACUUAGACACGGUCCAGGCUCCUACGGGAGGCAGCAGUAGGGAAUCUUCCGCAAUGGGCGAAAGCCUGACGGAGCAACGCCGCGUGAGUGAUGAAGGUCUUCGGAUCGUAAAGCUCUGUUAUUAGGGAAGAACAAAUGUGUAAGUAACUAUGCACGUCUUGACGGUACCUAAUCAGAAAGCCACGACUAACUACGUG
rnacentral:rRNA from 1 species